UACAGAGGUCCCGAGCGUUGUUCGGAUUCACUGGGCGUAAAGGGUGCGUAGGCGGCCUAAUAAGUUUGAUGUGAAAGCUCAGGGCUUAACCCUGAAAUGGCAUUGAAUACUGUUGGGCUGGAGGUUUGGAGGGGGGACUGGAAUUCUUGGUGUAGCAGUGAAAUGCGUAGAUAUCAAGAGGAACACCAGUGGCGAAGGCGAGUCCCUGGACAACACCUGACACUGAGGCACGAAAGCUAGGGGAGCAAACAGG
rnacentral:rRNA from 1 species